AGUGAACGCUGGCGGUAGGCCUAACACAUGCAAGUCGAACGGCAGCACAGUAAGAGCUUGCUCUUACGGGUGGCGAGUGGCGGACGGGUGAGGAAUACAUCGGAAUCUACUUUUUCGUGGGGGAUAACGUAGGGAAACUUAUGCUAAUACCGCAUACGACCUACGGGUGAAAGCAGGGGAUCUUCGGACCUUGCGCGUUUGAAUGAGCCGAUGUCGGAUUAGCUAGUUGGCGGGGUAAAGGCCCACCAAGGCGACGAUACGUAGCUGGUCUGAGAGGAUGAUCAGCCACACUGGAACUGAGACACGGUCCAGACUCCUACGGGAGGCAGCAGUGGGGAAUAUUGGACAAUGGGCGCAAGCCUGAUCCAGCCAUACCGCGUGGGUGAAGAAGGCCUUCGGGUUGUAAAGCCCUUUUGUUGGGAAAGAAAAGCAGCAGGUUAAUACCCCGCUGUUCUGACGGUACCCAAAGAAUAAGCACCGGCUAACUUCGUG
rnacentral:rRNA from 1 species